rnacentral:rRNA from 1 species
AUUGAACGCUGGCGGCAGGCCUAACACAUGCAAGUCGAACGGUAACAGGGAGCAGCUUGCUGCUUUGCUGACGAGUGGCGGACGGGUGAGUAAUGUCUGGGAAACUGCCCGAUGGAGGGGGAUAACUACUGGAAACGGUAGCUAAUACCGCAUAACGUCGCAAGACCAAAGAGGGGGACCUUAGGGCCUCUUGCCAUCGGAUGUGCCCAGAUGGGAUUAGCUAGUAGGUGGGGUAACGGCUCACCUAGGCGACGAUCCCUAGCUGGUCUGAGAGGAUGACCAGCCACACUGGAACUGAGACACGGUCCAGACUCCUACGGGAGGCAGCAGUGGGGAAUAUUGCACAAUGGGCGCAAGCCUGAUGCAGCCAUGCCGCGUGUAUGAAGAAGGCCUUCGGGUUGUAAAGUACUUUCAGCGGGGAGGAAGGGAGUAAAGUUAAUACCUUUGCUCAUUGACGUUACCCGCAGAAGAAGCACCGGCUAACUCCGU